GUCCCUGUAGCGCAAUGGAUAGCGCAUUGGAAUUCUAAUCCAAAUGUCAUGGGUUCGAAUCCCACCUGGGAAG